ACGAACUAAAGGGUGUUCAGAAUAGGCCGAGGCACACAGACUCCAGUUGGAAAAGGAGACGGAGAGUCGACGUAAUUGAAUAGAAAAGUGAGAGACCUGAGCGAACCGCAAAGGACGUGAACACUUCAAGAUCAAAACAUGGACUCCUUCCAAAGGAGCAAGAAGGAAUCUCUGCACUGCAGUUAAUUACCGUUUGGGGCGUUCGUCUCAAUUUUCAAUUCCUUUGGCACGCAAGAUCUUAAAGAAACACUGAAAGAUGCACAGCAGCGCCGUCAGGAGAACCCAGCCAGUGAAAGAGACGCCUUCACCGUAGCCAAGACUCGCAAUGCAAAACUGAUACAGGAAGUCCAACAAGAAAUGGCGCGCUUGAGGACGCUGAAGGUGUCUCCACUGAUGGCGCACCUUCAUCAGCUUAGCGACAACUACCUAGCCUCCUGACUCGCUGCGAGCCGUCUUUGAUCUUUGGACAAAGGACUUCGUAUCACGCCCGUCCCAGGUUCAGGACCCAGCAAGUGUCUCAUCCAGAAUGCCCUCCAGAGGAUGCGUUUCUUCGCAGUGAUUAUGCAAAUGUAGAUUUCUGUCAUGUCUUUCUUAUUCUUCUUCGUUCGCUUGUUAGAAUUUAGUGUGUCUUCCAAAAGUUUUGGAGCCGUUCCAGAGGCUUGUGCCUCUAUUACUAAUAUUACUAUUGAAGAAUGUUUUCAAGUGGAUUAUCAAGUAUAAAUUGCGUAGGUUUCUGUGUUUGUCUCCAGUAGAGUGACAUGAAAUCACUUAGUUUUCAUCGCUUUGUCUGUUUGCAAAUGGCUAGCUAUUAAGUUAAGGAAUGACGAGAGUUAUCGUAGAAGUAUCUUAGAGUAUAUUUGAUCCAUAAGUGAAUUAUCAAAGCAUUUUGAAAAACCUCAAAAUAGGAAUUCACGAUGAAAAGAAUUUUAAUCGGUUAGGUCACAAACAUCGCUUAUCAAACUAGUCCUUCUCAGCGACCAUGGAUUGUAUUGUAGUUAUUACUUCUUCUACUCGGAACAUGAGGAAACACCCGUAAGAAUAAACAUUUCAUAUCACUAAUGGAAUAUUCAGUUAUAUGCUGAAGAUAUUUAUGACACAGCACUUUUCAGAAUUCAAAAGUGAAUGUUUAUGAUCAACGUUUAUUAGACGUUUGAACAUAGACUCUGUAAGCCAUCUAGGAUAUUGCAAUUUGACUAUACAUAAAAAAUCUUUUAGUACUAUUUAAGUAAAGAUCUGGAGAUGAUAAAAGCUUUCAAGCCACUUUGAAAAACAACUUGUUCAGCCGUAAAAAAAAAUUCACAUGAAAAAAAAAGUUAGAUUAAUCUUGCCUAGAUAGUGACCCCAAAGGGUUUUAACCCUGUAUGUAUCCUCCACUGCGGCGUGUUUAGUACAAGCCCGUUGGGGUUUACCGUAAAAACAUAAACAAAAGACUGUAAAAUAUUGAAAUAUCUUGAAUUUUUCAUUGUGACUUUAUUACCGGCCACCGUAAAUUGAUGUGACUUUUUAUCCUGUGACUUUUUUUUACUAACAAAAAUUGUGACAUUUUUUUUUCUCUGUGACCUUUUUUCCUGUAACUAUCUUUCCGGCCACCGUCUCAUUUGCCACGUGAACUAACCAAAAAAUAGUCCGUAGGUUAACUAUAUACAAAAUCUUGUCAUAUACUCUGUUCUUUCCCUUUAUAUAGUUGUUUGGUAAACGGCAACUUCAUUCCGACUUCACGGCUUCCAGAUUAGUUAUUCUUAGGAGAAAAUGAAGUAUCUUUUCUUCGCUUGUAAUGACGAACGCAAAGGAACAGCAAAAUGUAAGUGGACGAAAAAAAUAAUGAUGGUAUUUCGUUAUGAAUUUUUAUCGCCCUCACGCAACUUUUAAAAACAAUGGAAUAUCUUCUGUUUGAUGAAACGAGUUCGUUUCGUCCCAGUUGGUUUGGGCAGAACUUGGAGGUCCGCACCAGACAUCCUGCUAACUUUAAUACCCCAGGAUAAGGUUCUGUAUUUGCAUCUUAACCAACUAACCACUCGCUUCAUGGGGGGAGACGAACCUAAAACAAUUUCGACCAUAGACAUAAUUCGCGUUUAUUUUGACCAAAAGUAAGAUCAGCUAUUUCGUAACCACUUCGAUUCGGUUGUUCCCCGCCGCGCCAGCUCCAGUGGGCCGUGGUUCCUGCUUCAUUUAAUACCUCCUUGGGUCACUAGUGGAUUAGCACUUUCUCUAGGACUAUUCAGCACGGCAGAAAAAUAUUGCACAAACUUAGUGUUGGUAGAAAGAUAGCCAUUAGGUAAGUUUCGUCAACGUUAGCACAGACUUCCUGGAAAAGCCGAUUCGGGUAUCAGUGUGAUCUGACUUCCAGUAACUUUAGACUUAAGCAUAAUUAAGGUCGUGUUUUUAAUGAUAAUUUUUUAAUCUUUCCUGGGUCGUGAUAAGAUUGAGUAGACGAUGGCGGUUCAGGUAGAGUCCAACAAAGAGUUUUGCGUGUCGUAGUUUUAGCCAAAAUCACGUGUCUGUCUAAAAUAAAACUAUAGCAGAUUCACAUCAACCGAGCAUUUGAUGUCUAGGCCAGGCCCUUACGAUGCUCCUGAUUGGUUGUUGAUAAACCAAUCACACGCUAGAAACUCCCAGUCUCUCUCGAGAGUUCACGUAGGCAGGAUCUAUGUUUCACCUCCCCUGAGGGAUACUUUUGAAAGACGUAUCUAUCAGGAGAGACGGAACACAGAUCCUACCCAUGUGAACUCUCGAGAGAGACUGAGAGUUUCCAGCCCUGUGAUCGUCUUAUCACCAGCCAAUCAGGAGCGUCGUAAGGGACUGGCCUAGACAUGAGAUGCACGCUUGAUGUGAAUCUACUAUAGUAACAAAUGCACGAGUUUUGGGAGGAAGAAUUGAUAUCGCUAAAUGCAGUUAUGCUUAACUUGUGAGGAGGGAAAACGGCUACAUUUAAAAACGACAAAUCCUUAUUCCAGGAGUAAAAGAAAAAAUGUUGCCCUUAACUUGAUAAACAUUAUUUUGAAUGGAGCAGUAAGCUUUUCUUGUAAAACAUUUCGAUAUCAUCUCCACAUAAGGGAAAAAAACAAGAUUUUGAUCAAUAUAACCAGUUGUAACCGUCCCUUAGGCCUAUUGCAGGCGUCAAUGCAUAGUUUUGGGGUACGUCGUUUGGCAGUCAUUUGAAGAAAUACUUCCUCCAUCACAGAUUCAAAUUGUAUUUUGCAAACUUGCCCCAAAGGCCCGAGAAUCCGUUAGCAGAAGCUUUGAUUUUGAGGCUUAGGAACUUUCAUUUGAAUGAAAUGAUGUUACUGAGACAUUUGGAGGCAACUGAGAUUAAGUUUAAUUAGAUAGUAUAAAAUAUUGCCAUGCAGCACGAUGUUAAGAUAAUUUCUUGUCGUUGAAGAUUUCAUUAUCUCCAAAAACGAUGUUCCACAAAUAACAAGAUAAAUAAA